CCUACGGGAGGCAGCAGUGGGGAAUAUUGGACAAUGGGCGAAAGCCUGAUCCAGCAAUGCCGCGUGAGUGAUGAAGGCCUUAGGGUUGUAAAGCUCUUUUACCAGGGAUGAUAAUGACAGUACCUGGAGAAUAAGCUCCGGCUAACUCCGUGCCAGCAGCCGCGGUAAUACGGAGGGAGCUAGCGUUGUUCGGAAUUACUGGGCGUAAAGCGUACGUAGGCGGUUAUUCAAGUCAGAGGUGAAAGCCCGGGGCUCAACCCCGGAACUGCCUUUGAAACUAGGUAGCUAGAGUCUUGGAGAGGUUAGUGGAAUUCCGAGUGUAGAGGUGAAAUUCGUAGAUAUUCGGAAGAACACCAGUGGCGAAGGCGACUAACUGGACAAGUACUGACGCUGAGGUACGAAAGCGUGGGGAGCAAACAGGAUUAGAUACCCUGGUAGUCCACGCCGUAAACGAUGAUAACUAGCUGUUCGGGCACUUGGUGCCUGGAGUGGCGCAGCUACGACAUUAAGUUAUCCGUCCGUCGGGUAGGUACGGUCGCGAAGAAUUAAAACUUAAACGUAAAGUUAGUACGGCGUGAGACGUGCCGAACGGACGACGACGAGGGAGAGG
rnacentral:rRNA from 1 species